rnacentral:rRNA from 1 species
UACGGGGGGGGCAAGCGUUGUUCGGAAUUACUGGGCGUAAAGGGCUCGUAGGCGGCCAACUAAGUCAGACGUGAAAUCCCUCAGCUUAACUGGGGAACUGCGUCUGAUACUGGAUGGCUUGGAUUCGGGAGAGGAAUGCGGAAUUCCAGGUGUAGCGGUGAAAUUCGUAGAUAUCGGGAGGAACACCGGUGGCGAAGGCGGCGGCCUGGGUAGAUACUGACGCUGAGGCGCGAAAGCGUGGGGAGCAAACAGG